GCCGUGAAGAUGAAAUCGUCUAGGGUCGAGGGGGGAGGGUAGACAGGGUGGAAAUAGAUUGGAAAGUUCGCGAAAAAUACGUGAAAAUCGAAGCGGUUAUAAAAGAGCGGUGGAUUCGAUUUAGCGAUCGUUACAUUGGCCGACCAAGCUCGCCUUGUCGACGGGGCUAAGGAUAGUGAUAAGCGUAUCUUUAGGAACGAGAGACCCAUAAAACGAUGGGUUGCCGCUGCCAUUACAAGGGGAUCGACCGCGCGCGAUUGCGAGAGGAGAAAACUGCAGUUCUAAAGUUAGCGUAAUAAAAAGUCGAGGCGCAGGAAGUUCUUGGCCCGGGAAAUGUUUACGCUGAAGAUAGCGAGGCACGGGGGACGAUUAUUCGACGCUGAUUCUGGAGGAAUUCGCGGCUGCGGCGGACGGGGGCGGCAAAGCAGCCGGGUAAAAAACCACGUACACGAGUUAACUAUAUUCCGCUGAGCGUGCAGACCUUUGAGGAAGUUGAAGUAUCGUGCACUCUAUCGAAGAACACUUCACUUAUUGUCGGGAUCCUCCAGAUAUUUUCAAGAGAGUCAAUGUUUUUGUUUACUAGACAAUUUCGCCUGAUGGAACCGCGACGUUGAUCCCCGAUCCGAGCGAUUUCUGGGAUCCCACACGUUUUCCCAUUUAGGCGAGUGGCGAGCAUUAAUCGCCGGGCGCUUCUUCGGCGUUCCUACAAAGGCCUCGCAUGCGAUUAAACUUAAUCGUCGAAUCCGAUUAAUCGCGGGACACGCGACGAGAUCGUUCGAAUCCAACGGCAACUUGGAAACGUUGGAACAACGGCGGCGGUGCGCGAACGGAUAAAAGCGAACGGGGUGGGCAAGGUCGUAAAUUACAGAGCGGUUUCUGCGAAGGGCAUAAUUUACGGAGCGGAUAAUUUGUUUAGUCUGUUUGCGCGUAAACGGCGAAAGAGAGGUGGCGCGGCUUUUUGCGCGUUCGCCGGUCGAUUAACGAGAAAUACUAUCGGCCGUUAAUGUUAAAUGCCACGGUUAAAGGCGCGGAUAGCCGAGUAAUGGAGCGAACCUCCUAGCCACGGUCAUUUUACGAGAUACAAUCGGAGAGAAGGUUAUUACAACACCCGCAUUAAUCCCUGCCUCGUUCGCCUCGCGAAUGGUACUUGCCGGCUCGCCGCGAACACCGCCGGCGCGCGGCGGCUUCUUGCGAAACAGCACGGGGACGUAUUCUUGAAAAUUUUAAUGACAGCCCCGCCGAUUCGUAUUGACGGGCUCCGAGAGAGUUUCGCGUGUAAGUCUAGGCCGUAGUAGCCCGAGCGUUCGUGCUCGAACCUUGCUACCGUUUCAAGUUCCGUGUUACUUUAUCUCGGAGAGCCCGUUAUUACAGACUCGCGCUAUUAGGGUUCCUUGAACUCGACGCCGCUGCUAAAACCGCUUUGUUCGCUUCGGCAACACUUUUUUUCGUUUCGACCGGAAAUAAUAAAGCAAACGCGAUCGUUGCUCAGAUUUUAUGCAUUUGCGACAGAAAUUUGUAGAUCGAAUGCAAAUUAAACACAAAUGUUUAUUAGAUAUUAUUAUUUUUUAGAAGACUGGGUAUAUAUGGAUAAAUGCAAAUUUAAAUAGUUUAGAGAACGAAGAUUAAGGGUACCCUAAGUUAAACAUUGUAAGUUGGUUAACGAAGCUAGAGAAGGAAAAGAAGUAUGAAAUAAAGAUUUGCAUCUGCUGUAAAUUAGUAAAUAAUAAUAAUGGUGAUUUUAAAUAUUAUUGCAUUACCGGCAACUCAGCAAAAUUAGAAAAUAAAUAAAUAUUCUAUGUAGUUCCAGCAUCUUGAAAUUAA